rnacentral:rRNA from 1 species
GAUGAACGCUGGCGGCGUGCUUAACACAUGCAAGUCGAGCGAAGCGCUUUGGUUAGAUUCUUCGGAUGAAGACCUUUGUGACUGAGCGGCGGACGGGUGAGUAACGCGUGGAUAACCUGCCUCACACAGGGGGAGUAACAGUUGGAAACGGACUGCUAAUACCGCAUAAGCGCACAGCACCGCAUGGUGCAGUGUGAAAACUACCGGUGGUGUGAGAUGGAUCCGCGU